AGGCACUCUAUGCGUGCGCACCUUGGGCUUUUCUCUCUCAAAACAUAAAAUCGCAUGUUAUAUCUGUAGGGACUCAGGGUUUCCUAACUAAGAGGAGGAAAAAGCUUAAUCAGAAAUCUCAGAGGUAGAAGAAGAAUCACCACCGGCCACAGUAACAAUGUCAACAGGCAAGAAAAUCACUUUGAAAAGCUCAGACGGAGAGACCUUUGAGGUGGAUGAGGCGGUGGCUCUCGAAUCGCAGACGAUAAAGGACGCGAUAGAGGUCAGUUGCGCAGAUAACGGUAUCCCUCUGCCUAAUGUCACCAGCAAAAUUCUCUCUAAGGUAAUUGAGUACUGUAAGAAGCAUGUCGAUACCUCCAAGUCUGAUGAUCGUCCUUCUGUUGAUGACAAGUUGAAGGUCUGGGACGCUGAGUUCGUCAAAGUUGAUCAGGCUACUCUCUUCGAUCUCAUCCUGGCUGCCAACUAUCUAAACAUCAAGAGCUUGCUGGAUCACACUUGUCAGACAGUGGCAGACAAGAUCAAGGGCAAAACUCCAGAGGAAAUUUGCGCGACUUUCAACAUCAGGAAUGACUUUACACCUGAGAAAGAGGAGGAAGUUCGCCGAGAAAACCAAUGGGCCUUUGAGUGAAAGGCCAGGAAAGUGUAUUCCUAAUUCCCCUUUUAUGUUGGACAUGGGUGUUCCGGAUUACUACUUUGCAAACAAUUGUUAUUUUACUUGCCUUGUUCCCUACCCAAAACAAUCACCAACUCUGAUGUCUGGUUGUAACCUGUUUGUUAAGUUUGUGCUGUUUGUUAAGUUUGUGCUUUAAUUUGCCUAAUGUUGUCUUCUGUGAUCCAAUAUUUCUGUUAUGACACGGUGCAUUACAACAAUUGUUUAAUGUGAACAAGAUAGCUCAAGAGUUGUGGGGAUCACAUAAAGUCAUCCAUUGGUAUUCUGCUUGGUAACUUGUGAACCAAAUGGGCAGAUAGCCUGGAGAUGCCAUAUGAUAGUGCUCCAGGAUAGAGAAAAAAGGGAAUUUGGAUCAUAAUGGCAAAAAAGCCAUUCUAAGCUCAAGUUUCGUGUGAUUUGAAGGAGGUCCAGUGCCGCCGAUGUUAGUGGUUUUAAAAGGUGGAGUUGAGAUAGCGUCGACAGCAUAUACUGAGCAGCGUUAAUUGGCUUUUACAGUUCAUACUAAUUUGGGGAGUUAAUGUACUACAGCAGCCAUUAUUAAUUGUAAAUUACAUCCGUGCACCCGUGCCACUGCCACAAAUUGUUUUGUCACUUCUUACUACUUCUACUGCUUACAACAAAUGGGGUGCGGACCUUGAAUUUUCCGUUAGUCCAAGUAAUUGAUCCAAACACAUCGUCCAGAGGUGAAGAUGCAUUGAAAAAAACUUGAUAGCUCAGUCUCUGUCCAUUCCCUGUAAAUUUUAGUUCCAUUGGAUCGACUGCAACUCCUAGUCCAUGAGGCAAAGAAAGCAUUGGAGUGUAUGAUGUAGCACCAUCUCCGCCAACGUUUGUAAGAGUUCUGCUUACAUUCCUAAUCUGAUUUGCAGCGAGGUUGAAAACUGCAAUGGAUGCAUAGUUGAUGUUAGAUAUGAGAUCGGAGCUUGAAUCAUUGGGGCAAGUAAAGCCAUCUGGAAGAGUUGCCGAGAUGACUUUUAUUGUGGAUGUAUCAUAUCCAUAAUAGCAUAGAAAGUUUAGGUAGUCAAUGGCAGUUGUCUCAUAAACUAGCCCCGGUUGCAGUGGUCCAGUUGCGCUUAUUUCUCCUGCCCCAUAAUCAUAAGCAGUGGCUAUGGCACCUGAAUCUGCCGUUAUAGAGGCCUUAACGUUGUUUGUUUGAGAUGCAGUGGUCAUAAUGGCUGAUUUGAUUGCGGAUGGGCUCCACGUGGGAUUCUGGGAUUUGACUGCUGCAGCAAUUCCUGAAACGUGUGGACAUGCCAUGGAAGUUCCUGAGAGCACAUUAAAUAGUGGGGGUUCUUUUCCUUUAACAGUCUCCUGUGUAUCAUUGCCCAUCCAUGCUGCAAUUAUGUCAACUCCUGGUGCUGCAAUAUCAGGCUGCAAAGCCAGAAAAAAACAGGGCAACAAUUUAUUUGUGUUUGAGCUUGUGGUGAUAUUUGCAAAGAAAAUAUCGUCCGGAAUGCAAACGGAUUGUAGGAAUAAGAGACUUUGCCUUGAGGAUGUUCCUUGUGAUGGAAGAAGGACCUCUAGCGGAGAAGUAUGCAACAGCUGGAGCAGGCUUAUAUUUUGUCACUGCUGUGGUAGGUAAGAUAGUUGCAACUGGAUUUCUGUGUAAGUUUUCAAAUUUGUCAACUAUAAAUUGCUUGAAACACUUAAAUGAGUUUCUAUUCACUGCAGCUGAUCUUUAACUUCAGAUCAAGACAAUAGUGUUUUGUCUUACUUAGUUGAGUUUAUGUAAGAAAGAAUUUCAGCAGCAUCCUUUGAACUGAUGACGGUCAUCGGAAAUUCCUUGUAAGUGGAUGCAACGGCCUUUGUCUUGUCAUCAACCAAAAUUAGACCAAUUCCUCCUAAGCUUUGAACUUCCCCCUUCUUCUCAUAAUCUGAGUAUUCACCAUCUUCAUUAUCACAGAGUAUAAUAUUUCCUUUGAUCUUCUCCUUAUCCAUGGAACCUGGCUUGCAGUUUCUUGCUUCAUCUUCAGCUGAAUCAGUGUUCUUGGCUGACUUCGCAUAUAUCAAAGGGUGCACUGGAUCUUUUCCAAUAUUAGCAAAAUUUAUACCUUCGCCCUUUAUUGCCUUGUUUCCACCCAACACAACAUCUGACUCAAAAUCCCUGUCAAUGGUUGUAGCACCAACCGUCAGAAUCCAUGGCGCAGUAUUUACAACUGUUCCUGAGCUAGGGCCAUCAUUCCCUGCAGAACAGACAACGGUGAUCCCAUUCUCAACUGCGUGGAAUGCUCCGAUGGCAAUAGGAUCCUUGUUUAAAUCGGGCGCAAAUGAGGAUGGUGAACCAAGUGAUAUUGAUAGUACAUCAGCGCCAUCUGCAAUUGCAUCAUCAAAUGCUGCUAGUAUGCUGGAGCCUUGGCAUCCAUUAUGUGAACAUACUCUAUAUACAGCGAUCCUUGACCCUGGGGAGCCACCUUUCGCAGUUCCCUCAGCCAGGCCGUAGUAUGAUGCACUUGAGACCACAGCUCCUGCUGCAGUUGCGGCUACAUGAGUGCCAUGUCCAAUCAUAUCCCUAGGUGUUUGAUAGAUUUCAUCAUCUUCGCUUCCAUAAAACCUUGCUCCGAUUAGUUUUCUGUUACAGUUGGAUGAGUUGAAGUUGUAACCUUUUACACAAGUUCCUUUCCAGCGUGAUAGAAUUGGACCCAUGUCCUUGUCACUAAAACUCUCUGAUUCGGGCCAAAUGCCUGUAUCGAUUAUUCCAAUGAUCGUGUCCGAUCCAUUAAAGGAUGAGCUAGAGUCUGAAGUGGGAUUGGAAUCAAUCUCAACAUCAGUUUGAUACUUCAAGAAAUCCCAUGAACGAGUUGUGUGGAGUUGGAAGACAGGAUCAGGAAAAACAGAUGCAACUCCAGGUCUCUGAGCAAUUGAUUGCGCCUCUGCUUCUGAUAAACGAGCAGCAAAACCCGAAAAUCCAUGCCUGUAGCUGCGUAAUAUAGCAUUCUUUUUCCCUUUUGACACAGAGCUCAAAAGCUGGACGUAAUCGUUUUCCAAGUAACCUUUGCCAGCUCCCAUGUAAACAAUGUAAACCCCAUCCUUGUCUGCAGCUGCAACUCCUGUUUCUAUCAGACAAGACAAGGGAAAUAAGAGAUAGAAUAUGAUAAGACCGUUCAUGGCUUGAACUGUUCCAAGGAGAUUGAAUUGGAAGCUCUCUCUCUCUGGUUUAGUGAUGCAUGGCUUGUUAUGUCUAUGAUAGAGCUCUUAUCCAGCCAAGUUAGUGAUAUUUAUAAUACCAAAAAAUGGUGGGUGCUUGGUUUACACAGGCUUUUUUCUAUUAUUUUAGAUUUUUAGUUUUUUUUUCUGGGCCUCCUUUAUUAUGCAAUUAGUUAAAUGGUUGUGCA
rnacentral:misc_RNA from 1 species